UGGCGCACGGGUGAGUAACGCGUGGGAACCUGCCCCUGGGUACGGGACAACGUCUGGAAACGGGCGCUAAUACCGUAUACGUCCUUCGGGAGAAAGAUUUAUCGCCCUGGAGGGGCCCGCGUCCGAUUAGCUUGUUGGUGGGGUAAUGGCCUACCAAGGCGACGAUCGGUAGCUGGUCUGAGAGGAUGAUCAGCCACACUGGGACUGAGACACGGCCCAGACUCCUGCGGGAGGCAGCAGUGGGGAAUAUUGGACAAUGGGGGCAACCCUGAUCCAGCAAUGCCGCGUGUGUGAUGAAGGCCUUAGGGUUGUAAAGCACUUUCACUGGUGAAGAUGAUGACGGUAUCCAGAGAAGAAGCCCCGGCUAACUCCGUGCCAGCAGCCGCGGUAAUACGGAGGGGGCAAGCGUUGUUCGGAAUUACUGGGCGUAAAGGGCGUGCAGGCUGUGAUUUAAGUUGGGCGUGAAAGCCCGGGGCUCAACCCCGGAAUUGCGCUUGAUACUGGAUCACUUGAGACCGGAAGAGGGUAU
rnacentral:rRNA from 1 species